UCUAGAACGAAAAGCUACGUUAGCCUGUUACUAAUAAUAGUAUUACCAAUGGCUAGCUGAAAGUGAGGAACCGGCUACCAGAGUAACAGAGUGCGUUCACCGACGAUCCUGUUGAACGACGUCGUCGGCUGAGAACUGGGUUACAGCUCGCGAGUUUAUUUACUACGAAUCGGUUCUCGUCGAUCCGAACACUGCGUGCAAAUUCUUUUACUGAAACGCUGUUUUACUCUUUAUAUUUACAUUCACAUCGAACGCUAAUAUUUCGUCCAAUAACUUUUCACACAAAAGCGAUAAAUUAUUCAAGAAUCGUGCAUUAUUGCAUUGCACACACGUAUACAUACAUAUACACAGUAUACAUAUAUAGCUAUCUACGUACAAUAUAUGACGUACCCAUCUUUUUCUAGUGGUUACAACACAACAUCAAUAUUGCGACUCGGUAGUUUCUAAAUCAAUCGAUAUUCGCAAAACGCUUGUUAUCGAUCUAGGAAAAUGUCAAGGCCAGACAGGGCAACGAGUAGAUAUCAAACAAGACGAAUAGUAUGUUAAAUAUUGCGCUGACUUUGUGAUGGCGCGAAGGAAACGUGGCAAGAAUCGGAAUCAACGCGUGUACACGCGUUGACGAGCCGAUGACGAGCAAAGGCCAGGCCCCGAGCAUAACUUUAUUCCAUUAGGCCUUAAUUUGUGUCAAUUCGAGCCGCCUACCCAGUCGUUAUCUCUUACCACGCGAGACGAAACAACUGUGUUAAUUAGGAGCACAUUCGUUUAGAUUUUCGUCGAUCUAACGGAAUCACAGCAAAUCCUUAAAAUCUCACCGACAACACAAUGCUAUCAUUCAACGGAGAAGAAGAAGGAAAAAAGAAGAAGAAUAGGAAGCGGAAAAAGAAAUAUUCACACGAUUUAACUAGCCGUCCAAUUCGCUAUUUGAAAUCGUUACACUUUGCUUUGGCAUAAAUGUCAUUUUUUUCGAUCAGCGAAAUCAGCAUCGAGAUGAAAAAUGCCUGAAACGCUUUCUACGAACAGAAAGACUUUCUAAAAGGCCGCCGCGUUUAGAGUUAUAAAUUGCGACGCAUUUGCGCAUUCAGUUGUUUUUGCUUGCCGGAUGUCGUCAUUAAUUCAAAUUAAACAGCAAAAAAAAAAAAAAGAAGGAAAAGAAACUGGAUGAGGAAAUAAAAAAGUUGCUGCAAUUUUGUAUAAUUUCACUAGCCGGCAGGCACAAGUUGCAGAUAGCGUUUGGCAACGUUGGUCUACGAUUUACUCGAUCCGCUGUGCGCGACCACGUAAGUGACAAGCACACGUGACGCGUGUUAUGAUUCCAUAGCUACAUAAUUCCGGCUUGUCGUAAUUUAAAUAGAAUUAAUUACUGCACCUGUGUGAACUUCACUGUGCUCUCGACCGCGAUCGUCUACGCCGACACGUUUAUAUUCCGUGUACACGUAACAGCUUUGAUAAGAUUAUAAGUGAAGGUCCAUCGGACCUGGCCACGUAUCAAACACGGAAAAAUACAUGUUCAUUGCCGCAAUAACAUUUACACAGAUAUCGUCGAACAGCGACCGAACAUUGUAAAAUCAGAACACAAUCGAAACACAUCAGCAUAUGACCGUUACUUAGCGCAUCUUUGCUUGCGUAAUCACCGAUCUUUGGAACACCGAAUUCAACACGCGAACGAAACCACACAACAAAACUAUCCCUCUCCGAUUUCCAUCCGUUUACCUAUCCAUACGAAAUAAAACAAGAAUAAAAGCGAGAACAUGAAGAGUCACGCGAAAAGAGAAGCUCAACUCACGAUCGCUUCAACGUUCCUCUUCACGGUUAUUUGGUCGCCUCAUAAUUUGAUUCGACGCCACUUUCCCUGGCUGCACAAAAACACUUCGGUUGGAUAGUCCUCGCUAGAGGACUAUUAAUAAAGCCAACUUUCCGUGUACUGAGUCACGGGACGAGGAGGAUUCACCCCGUUCCAGUAAUUCGUAAAUACGACGCAUUUGCGACGCGCAUUUUAUUAUGUACGUAUGCGAAACAAUAAAACGGAAUCCCGUUGCGAACGAGUUCAACUCGAGAACCGAAAUUUCCCUCCGCAGGGAAACGCGGGAAAGUUUUCCAACUACGAAAGAGAAGCGACCGGAUCGAUAGCGACAGCACGAUCGCGAUGCGCCCGCCGCGUGUACGACAAUGAAACGUUCCGGAUUCGCUCGGUGAUCCCCUGGUACUACCUAUGCCACCACCGCGAGCAUCCGCACACCGAUACACAACCAUACAACCAAACAGAUAGAUAUACGCUAUACACGCGUGCCCUCCUCAUAUACACCUUCACCACGCGAACGAUGUGGACUGACACUCCGCAACAACGAUUACUAUUCUUCAGAAACACACGGUUUCUGCAUUCACCGGCCCGUGAAUCCGUAUACGAGCACACACGGUGCCGAUGUACACGAAGACUGUACAGUGAACGUCAUCAACCGAAGAACAAGGCUACGUUUAACUUGCGAGCUUGACUCCACGUUUUUUCCUACAUACUGUCGUAAUUAGCGUUCAACAUACUAUAAGAAUCAAAUCGGUGUUGACUAUACGGAGCACGUAUGCACUGUUCAUCGAUCACAAAAAUUCAUGACAUAGCUUAUAUGAACGUCCGUGCAUUGUAUAAACGUAACAUGGAGAUAUAUAUUCUGCAUUGUAUCGAAACUGAUGG